rnacentral:rRNA from 1 species
AUACAGAGGGUGCAAGCGUUAAUCGGAAUUACUGGGCGUAAAGCGUGCGUAGUCGGUUAUUUAAGUCGGGUGUGAAAUCCCCGGGCUCAACCUGGGAAUUGCAUUCGAUACUGGAUAGCUAGAGUUCGGCAGAGGGAAGCGGAAUUUCCGGUGUAGCGGUGAAAUGCGUAGAUAUCGGAAGGAACAUCAGUGGCGAAAGCGGCUUCCUGGACCAGAACUGACGAUCAGGCACGAAAGCGUGGGGAGCAAACAG